rnacentral:lncRNA from 1 species
GGGCCUGGGCUUUCCUGCACAUCCCAGAGAUAUAGGGACAGCCAUGGCACCGCCGUGGGCCACCUCGCCUGAGUGACUCUCCUUGGGGACACUGACACAGCAUGGCUUGAUGAGCUGUGUGUAGGUCCACACCUGGCAUCCGAACUCGCAAACCCCAGGCCACCGAAGUGGAGCGGGCGAACCCAACCACUACACUACUGGGCCCACCCCAUCUUCCGAUGUUUUGACAUCUCUCAGGGGCCUUACAGAUCUGUGGAGAGACUGCACCUCCCUAGGCCAGCUAAUUCCUGGGGUGGUGGACAGCUUACCUGGAAUGUGCCUUUUACACACAGACCUGCCAAUCCCAGACCAUGCCCCCACCCACUUCCUCACCUAACUCUCACCAAGCCAGUAUUUCCCCUGCCCCAAAUCAUCCCAGGGCCAGGGACCAGACCACUGGGGAUAGUUGUCUAUCCCCCUAUAUCCCCAGAGCCUGCCAGAAUUAUUCAACCUAGCCGAUCCUAAGCUGCUUCCUCA